UAUUCUCAUUAGUGUAGAGUACUUGGAGAUUUGUAAUGGCCGUGAAACAAUAUAUAGGUUCUUCUUCUUCAUCUAUGGUGGCAUCAUUGAAAAAAUUCGAUGUUUUUAUUAGCUUUCAUGGCAAGGAUACUCGUAAAACUAUCACGAGCCAUCUUUAUGAAGCUCUUAGGAAAAAAGUUCAGACAUUUAUUGACUUUGAGCUUGAAAAAGGAGAUGAGAUCUCAUCAGCACUCAACAAAGCUAUUGAGGAGUCAGACGCAUCUGUAGUCAUAUUUUCAAAACACUAUGCAUCUUCAAAAUGGUGUUUGAAUGAACUCGUUAAGAUUCUAGAAUGCAAGAGAGAUCGAAGACAAAUUGUCAUACCCGUUUUCUAUGAUAUAGAACCAUCUCAUGUGAGGAAUCAAACUGGAAGUUAUAAGCAAGCUUUUGAAAAACAUGAGCGAGAUUUGAGACACAACAAAGAGAAGUUGCAGAAAUGGAAAAAUGCACUCACCGAAGCAGCCAAUUUAUCUGGAUGGAACUCUCAAAAUUACGGGAAUGAUGCAGAUUUCGUUAAUGACGUUGUAGAAGAUGUUUUGGAAAAAUUGUAUCGGAAAUAUCCAUUUGAAGUUAAUAAGGAACUUGUUGGCAUUGAGAAAAAGUGUGAAAAGAUGGAAUCUUUACUGGAAAUUGGGUCAAAUGAUGUUAGAACCCUUGUAUUAUGGGGCAUGGGAGGCAUAGGAAAGACCACUCUAGCCAAACAUUUAUUUGCUAAGCAGUAUGCUCAAUUUGAACGUACUUGCAUCAUUGAAAAUAUAAGGGAAGAAUCAACCAAGCAUGGACCCACGUUUGUACGUAGCAAACUAAUUUCUACAUUGUUGAAGCUUCCUCUCAAUGCACCUUAUGUAGAAACACCAAAUUUCAUAAAUAGACUUGCACAUGGAAGAAGUCUCAUUGUGUUGGAUGAUGUGGAAACCUUUGAGCAAGCAGAAAAUGUUAACAUAGUUAAUAAUUGCUUGGGAGAGGGUAGUAGAGUCAUUAUCACCACUAGAAAUAAGCAGAUAUGUAACCUACUUGACAAAUAUGAAAUAUAUGAGUUUGAGAAAAUGAAUGCAGAUGAAUCACUUCAAUUAUUCUGUUUGAAAGCUUUUGGAGAAAAAUUUCCUAAGGAAGGAUAUGAUAAUCUAUCAGAAGAGGCAAUUCUUUAUUGCAGUGGCAAUCCCCUAGCUUUGAAAGUCUUAGGUGCAAAUUUUGGCGCAAAAAAAAGUAAAGAAGCAUGGGAAAGUGAGUUGGAGAAACUCAAAAAAAAUCCCAAUCGGAAUAUCCAUGAUGUGUUAAAAUUGAGUUUUGAUGGCUUAGAUCGUCCUCAACAAGACAUAUUUCUAGACAUUGCAUGCAUCUCCGGAUUACAAGCUUGUUAUGAAUCUCUUGAUAGUAAAGAUUACUUCAAAGCAGUAUGGAAUGCUUGCAAAUUUUUUGCAGACAGUGGAUUAGAAGUCCUUCUAGAUAAAGCGCUCAUAUAUGUUUAUGACGAACGCUAUAUCAAUAUGCAUGAUUUGUUAAAAGAAAUGGGAAAAGAGAUUGUUAUGACAGAAUCUGUUAAAGACCCGGGAAGAAGAAGUCGAUUAUGGGAUCAAAAUGAUGUGUAUGAUGUAUUGAAAUAUAACAAGGGAACUGAAGUUGUUGAAGUUAUAGAAUUUAAUAUUGAUCGACUUGGGGAUUUGUACUUGAGCUCUGAUUGCUUUAAAAGCAUGACCAGCUUAAGACAUCUUGAGAUCACUAUAGGUUAUAACAGUAGACUGCAUCUCCUUGAAGGUCUUGAAUGGCUGUCUGAGAAAUUGAGGUACAUUCGUUGGCAAUCAUUCCCACUUGAGUCUUUGCCAUCAACCUUUGGUGGAAAAUGGCUUGUACAUCUUACAAUGCAGCAUAGCAAGCUUAAAAAGCUUUGGGAUGGAAUUCAGAGGCUUGACAAUUUAAUGAUUCUUGAUCUUGAUCACUCCAAAGACCUGAUUGAGAUUCCAGAUUUAUCAAGGGCCCCAAAUCUUCAAGUAGUAUCCCUUUGUUAUUGUGUGAGUCUCUGUCAACUCCAUCCAUCCAUUUUUAGUGCCCCCAAGCUUAAAGAACUAUGUUUACAUGGUUGCAAAAAGAUUCAAAGCCUGAAAAAUCACAUUUAUUCAACAUCUCUCCAAAUACUUAAUCUCUCUGAUUCUUCAUAUCUUGCGGAAUUUUCGGUGACAUCGGAGGAAAUGAUGGAGUUGUCUUUAUGGGGCAGUGUUGUACAUGGAUUUUCUUCAUUGAUGUUGUGUAAUAAGAAAUUUACUGAACUGCACCUUACAGGAUGCACACAGAUCAAUACAUCGAGUCUUUGGCUCAUCCUUGAUGGCACACCCUCUUUAAAAGAACUAUAUUUGAGCAAGUGCUGCUACUUAGAGUUUCUCCCUGACAACAUCCAAAACAAUUCUAUGUUAGAAAUUCUUUAUUUAAAUGACUGCCGGACACUCAAGUCCCUACCAAAACUUCCAGUUAGCAUGCGAAGCUUUAGAGCACAGAAUUGCAUUCAUUUGGACACUCUCUCCAUUCAACAAUCAAUACAUGAGAAUAUGUUACACAGACUCCGUUCACAUGAGAAAAUGUUACACAACAGAUACUGUUCACGGAGCUACUGGAAUGUAACAAAUUGUCCUAUGGAUUUAUGUUUCUCUCCAGGUGGUGAAGUUCCUAGUGAGUUUUAUUUUCAUACAACAAAGGAUUCCAUAGUUAUUCCUCCUAUUCCAAAAUAUGGUUUGUAUGGUUUUGUCUUUUGCAUCAUUCUCUCUGAAGAAGUGGCUAAUCAACUCUGGGAAGUUUUGUGUAUUAUUUAUCAACACACACAAGAAAUUGACCGAUACUCGAAAUGCUUUUGGGAAGGUACUUUAAUUUCAGAUCAUGUAUUGAUAGGCUGCAUAGGAUGUUACAAUUCCGACUGGGUGAAGGCGGGGAUGGAAAGUGAAGGUCAUCAUUACAACCUUUCAUUUCAAUUCAUAUAUCGUGGAAGUGAAGGUAUGAGAACAGGGUGGGUCAAGAGUUGUGGAAUAAUCCCUGUAUAUGACUUGAAACAUAGUUUUGCUUUGGAUGGUAGAAUUAGUGGAGUUGAGAUUGUUGAAAUACAAUCCAACGCUCAACUAUCUGAUCAUUCUGAUGAUUGUCAUGGACAUUUGAAAUUCGAUAUUAAUGAGUCACAACCCCAAAAAAUUGGAGCUGAAAAUGAAGAUGGCCAGCAACAGCUAAUUAUUCCUCCGACAGAAAAUAUGGAGUUGAAUGAUAAAUCUUCCUGUGCAUGUUCAAUCGGUAUUUUGUUGAAGUACAUACUAGAAGAAUCAAAACGUCUAUUUCUCAAGCAAAGAUAAGAGAGCAUCAAAACAUUCAUUCAUAAGUCUUUUGCUGAAGCACAUGCUAGAAGAGUCAAAUCGUUUGUUUCUCUUGUUUCUCAACCAAAGAUAAAAGACAGCAUCAAACCUUUCAUUCAUUAAUUCAGAAGUAUAUCAUGAAAUAGUAGAAUGUUAUUUGGUAGCAUCAAACCUUUCGAUAAGCUGUUAGGAUACUAUUAUGCAUUAUAUAAUGUUGCAAGUUGUAUGUUACAUGUAUAUACUACAGAACUGUCUAGGUACCAGUGUACAACACUUUUCUAUUCUACUGUUGAAUCUCAUAAUUGCUUUAGAAAGAUAAACAUGAUCAAAUACUUGGUAAAGUUAGUAGAGGAUCAUAAUGUUUAUCACCAACAUUCAUCGGUAGCUGGUCAACUGUCUUAAACCACCCUUGCCAGCUUGCCGGUGAAUGCAAAGUCGCCAUAGAAAACGUCGGCAACACCUUGGCCUUCGGUGCCUGGAAGCCAUGCAGCUACAAGUGCAUCAAUUUUUUAUAGAUAUGGCUGAAUCACAACCGGGCGCCCAGUGACAAGAACAACUACACAUUGAAUGUAGCCACAUACAUUGGUGAUGGUGCUUGGACCUGGCUCAGCUAUGGUUAGAUUCAAACUGUCACCAAAUGUUUCAGCAUAAGGAUCAACUGUUUGUUUUAUUGCAUCAAGGAUGGUUGUAGUACAAAGGAAGCUACGAUAGAGACUGAAAUGAAAUGUUCGGUCUUACCCGAAGUAAGAUCAUUACCACUAAGCCCAUUCCAAGUAAUUGUCCAUCCACCACAUUGAUAUCCCAAAUUAUCAGCAUGACUUCCUGCAACCAAUAUUUUUGAAGCUUUCUUGGGAAGGGGAAGCAGUGG